AGGGAGGUGGCAGGAGGGCAGCAGUCUUUGUGCCCGAGGCUGGCCUCUGCGCCCCCGACCCGUGGCCCAUGUGCUUCCUCAGCUCUGCUGCCGAUGAGGGGCCUUCCUCCCCUGUUGAGAGCCUGCUUCCCAGGGUUCCUGCACAAUACUGCACCAGGGACCCCGUGGGUGCCGGGCUACACCAGGCUUGGCCCCUCCGCCCUGGUGUUCUGACAGGCCCCAUGGGCACCCUGACCCACCAACACCCGAUGCCCCAUGCACACUCUCCAUCCCUGGGCCUGAGGGCAGACGGCCUGUGCCCAGGGAGCCCUGGGUCACGCCCAGGGAGCCCUGGGUCACUCCCAGUGUUUCUAUGGGGGAGAGAAACACUUCCUGACACGGCUCCGAGGUUCCUAAAGGGCCCCGACUGGCACACUCUUCCCUCUCCUCUGAGGUCUGCAUCCCCUCCCCUCCCCUGGGGGAGAACCCCCCUCAGCUGAAGACCGCAGGAGCAGCCCUAAGGGUUCCCUGGUCCAGCCACUCCAGGCUGCUCAGUGGUGCCCUGUUUUGUGCUGGGGAUGGGAACAGGGACUUUAACCACUAAGCCACACCCCCAGCCCUUUUUGUUUUCUGAGACAGGGCCUUGUUACGUUGCUUACUGCCUCACUAAGCUGCCGAGGCUGGCUUUGCACUUGCCAUCCUCGUGCCUCAGCCUCUCGAGCCUCUGGGACACAGGUGUGUGCCACUAUGCCUGGCCAGAGCCGCCCCUUUAAGGUGCAUCUGCGGCAGGAGCCAGUGUGGGUGCAGGGCAGGUCAGCCACAGUGCCACGGAGUGUGCUUCCUGAUCCCAAGACCUCACAGCCUCUUCUGAAGGCAGUUUUCCUAUUAGGAAUCACGGUGUUUGAAACACACCACACUCAGAAAAACGCGGAGCCCAAUCCUGCAGCCCAGGUCCUGUCUCACCAGCAGCUCUUUGGGAAUCUGUGGCUGCCUCUGGACCCUCUCGCCCCACCCAGGGUUGUCCAGUGCCUAGUUCCCAUGCUGAGCCUGUGGACUGCAGCUGUGUGAAAGCUCCAACCCUCAGCCUCCUGCUGACCUUCUGGGGCCGGGGACACCGCUGGCCAUGUGUCUGCCUGAGCCCGGAGGGUGGAACCCUGGACCCCCCACCACCCGAGCAGGCGGGCGGCCUCCCCCCAGCCCGGCUGUGCUCCUUGAUCUGCUCAGCUCGCAGACCUGGGCAGGGACUCCCUCCCACAGGUGGGGACCCCAGGCCCCAUCCCGGGGUGCACUGAGCCCCAGUGUCACCCUCAGGGUCUCUACCUGUCAGCCUUCUCGGGGGAAGACGCUGCAGAGCAGGGUCUGGACUUGGCUAUAUGUCAGCAGAAGGCAGAGGUGGGACCAGCCAUGCACAGGUCAGGAGCAGAGAUUUCAGGAGCACAGUCCUAGAGCGUCGUCCUAAGUCCUUCACUGCUGUUUCCAAGAAAUUGUUUUAAAACCAAAAAAUUUAAGGAAUUGCUGAGGAUGGACCUGGGACCUUGCUCAUGUGAGUACAUGCUUCCCUCUGAGCUACCCGCCAGCCCCAUGAGCUCCUUGUUUAAA
rnacentral:lncRNA from 1 species